rnacentral:tRNA from 1 species
ACAUUUUUAAUAUAAAUAGUAUAUAAAGCUUCCAACUUUAAUGAUCGAAAGAAAAAUGUA